rnacentral:rRNA from 1 species
UACAGAGGGUGCAAGCGUUGUUCGGAAUUACUGGGCGUAAAGGGCGCGUAGGCGGCCUUCUAAGUCGAACGUGAAAUCCCCGGGCUCAACCCGGGAACUGCGUCCGAUACUGGAAGGCUUGAAUCCGGGAGAGGGAUGUGGAAUUCCAGGUGUAGCGGUGAAAUGCGUAGAUAUCUGGAGGAACACCGGUGGCGAAGGCGACAUCCUGGACCGGUAUUGACGCUGAGGCGCGAAAGCCAGGGGAGCAAAGCGGG